GUGCUUGCUUCAGUAACACAUAUAAUAAAAUUAGAAUAACAUGGAGAAGAUUAGCAUGGGCCUUGCAGAAGGAUGACUCAUAAUUAAGAAGACAAGGAGCCUGAGUGG